UGGAUUGAUGAUGUUGACUAGUGGCGUAUGAGGCACGGAUGCUGAUUGCUGGUCUGGAAGUCUGAGGUCCAG